rnacentral:lncRNA from 1 species
UGCAGGCUGACGGCAGCGCUGCCGAAAUCCCGGAUGCUCACGAAGCAGGUGAAGCUGCCCUCGUCCGCCACACGCACGCGCUGCAGCCUCAGGGAUGCGUUGCCCUGUGCCAGCAGGUCCGGGAAGAGGGCCGUGCGGUUGGCAUAGGCGCUGCCCUGGUCCUGGCCCUCAGCAAAGCUGUGCACCAGCUGUUUGGUAUCUGUCAGCUGCCAGAUGAGGUUGAGCUGUGCCAGGCUGAAGCCAGGCUCAGGGGAGAAGGAGCAGCACAGGGUGGCAUCGGUGCCCACCAGUGCCACCACUGGGUCUUCAGGGAC